rnacentral:rRNA from 1 species
CCUACGGGGGGCAGCAGUGGGGGAUAUUGCACAAUGGGGGGAACCCUGAUGCAGCGACGCCGCGUGGGUGAAGGAGUGCUUCGGCAUGUAAAGCCCUAUCGGCAGGGAAGAAGCAAGACGGUACCUGACUAAGAAGCCCCGGCUAACUACGUGCCAGCAGCCGCGGUAAUACGUAGGGGGCGAGCGUUAUCCGGAUUCACUGGGGGGAAAGGGAGCGUAGACGGCCAAGCAAGCAAGGGGUGGAAGGCCGGGGACCAACCCCGGGACUGCCCUGGGAACUGGAUGGCUGGAGGGCGGGAGGGGCAGGCGGAAUGGCUGGUGUAGCGGUGAAAUGCGUAGAUAGCAGGAGGAACACCGGGGGCGAAGGCGGCCUGCUGGACCGCGACUGACGUUGAGGCGCGAAAGCGUGGGGAGCGAACAGGAUUAGAUACCCCAGUAGUC